rnacentral:lncRNA from 1 species
GAAUUAAUAAGAAACGGAAUGACCUUUGGAGUGCUGUCAUUUCUGUACCUGCCUCCCUGUGACGCCUGCUCUGCUGCCUCGCUAAGAAUAACAGCUCGUCAGGAGAGCCCUGCUUGGAGCUGGCAUGCCCCUACACCAGAGCUUCCAAGCGUGCUGAAAAGAACUUUCCUUAUGGCUCCCGUUUGCAAUUCCUGCAGCCCCGUGUGCUUGAGGCAGAUCCCUGAUGUCCUAUGGCCUGGUCUUGCAGGGAAACUCCUCACCAGCCUCUUAAAUCCUCAGCAGUCCCUCAGCGAAGCCCCUCCAGUGUAACACCACGGCUCAGCGAGGACCUCAGCAACCUUCCUUCCUUCUUUGAGU